CGGUUAAAAAGCUCGUAGUUGGAUUUCUGUUGAGGGCGUCCGGUCCGUACCACGUACGCGUAUCUGGGUCGCGCUCGGCAUCCUCUCGAAGAACGGUUCUCGCGCUUGAUUGCGUGGUCCGGGUUUCGGGACUUUUACUUUGAGGAAAUUAGAGUGUUCACGGCAGGCAAUUGCCCGGAUACAUUAGCAUGGAAUAAUACUAUAGGAUUUUGGUUCUAUUUUGUUGGUUUCUAGGACUAAAAUAAUGAUUAAUAGGGACAAUUGGGGGCAUUCGUAUCAACACGCUAGAGGUGAAAUUCUUGGAUUGUGUUGCGACGAACUACUGCGAAAGCAUUUGCCAAGGAUGUUUUCAUUGAUCAAGAACGAAAGUAAGGGGAUCGAAGAUGAUUAGAUACCGUCGUAGUCUUUACCACAAACUAUGCCAACUAGAGAUGGGGCAUCGUUCAAUACGACUUGCUCCGCACCUUAUGAGAUAUCAAAGUCUUUGGGUUCCGGGGGGAGUAUGGUCGCAAGUCUGGAACUUAAAGGAAUUGACGGAAGGGCACCACCAGGAGUGGAGCCUGCGGCUUAAUUUGACUCAACACGGGGAAACUCACCAGGUCCAGACAUAAUAAGGAUUGACAGAUUGAUAGCUCUUUCUUGAUUUUAUGGGUGGUGGUGCAUGGCCGUUCUUAGUUCGUGGAGUGAUUUGUCUGCUUAAUUGCGU
rnacentral:rRNA from 1 species